CGGACGCGGCACCAUCGAGUCGCGGAGCCCAGCGGCGCAGAGCGGUCGCGCGCCCCGAUUGGCGCUCGGAGGGAAGUGACGUCACGACCGGCGCGGCGGGGGAUUUGAACGACGCGGCGCGGUGGAUCCCGGGAGUGGCGAGGGGGCCCCGGACACCUGAGUUCGCCCUGACUCUCCCUUCCCCAGCCACCGGCUUCCCUUCUGAACUCGCCCUGACCCUGCGGUGGACUCGGCCCCAAAAUGCCCCGCCCCAAACCCACUCCCCGGCGGCUCCGGGGUUCCCCAGCCCGCCCAUCGCCCCGGCCGCGGGCACGCAGGCGCCGCCCAGGUCAGCGGGCAUUGCAGGAAAUCCGCAAGUACCAGAACAGCACCCGCCUGCUGCUGCGCCGCGGCCCCUUUGCUCGCCUGGUGAGAAUCCCCCACAUCCCUAAAAUCCCCAGACACUCCGAUUUCCCUCACAGAAUCUUCCCAGCACCCCCCAUGGACUCACAAACUCCCCUGAGACCACACAGAUCCUCUCAGAUACCCAUAAAAUCUACUUUGGGACCCCCAAACCCCUCCAGGACCCCCCCAAUUUCACCCCAGAACCUCCAACAUUGGGAUCUUCCAAACCACUCUGGAUCCCCUCUCCUGGGAUCUCCAAAUCUAGAACACCCCAGAUCAACCCUCUCAGACCCUGCAACUUCCCCCAGAGCCUUCAAAUCCACUCUGGGACCCUUCAGCUCCCCAUAGAACUCUCCCAAAUACCCACUGGAACCCUUCAAACAAUCCCUAGGACCCCUUCAAAUCCAACCCCAAAUCCAACCUGGCACCCUCCAGUCUCCCCUUGGACCGCAUCCCAAAAACCCACCGGGAUUUUCCAACCCUCUACAGACCCACCAAGUUACCCUCUAGAACCCCAGAGCACCCCUUGGGACUCCUCAAGACUAUCCCUUUUCCCCCCAGGGCCCCCCUCAACCCUGUUUCAGCCCUCCCCAUAUCCUUGUCCUCCCCAUCCUCAUGACAUGGUGGGCCUGUCCUCCCCCACCAUCCUUGCAUUUCCCCCAAUGUCAUUCUGUGGUUCCAGACAUCCUUGUGUCCUGCUGCCUUCAGAGGCUGCAUGGAUUGAGUGUUCCCUGUGCCCCUCCUGCCAUACUGGCACUGUCCCCCCCCCGUUCCAUCGGGGUGUCCCCGUGUUCCCAUGGCUGAGGGUGUUCCCAAGAUGUUCCCGGAGUGGUGCUUCUCCCCUGCCUCCCACCUGGGAGAUCCCAGG
rnacentral:lncRNA from 1 species